rnacentral:rRNA from 1 species
UACGUAGGGUGCGAGCGUUGUCCGGAUUUAUUGGGCGUAAAGAGCUCGUAGGUGGCGUGUCACGUCGGGUGUGAAAGCCCGGGGCUUAACCCCGGGUCUGCAUCCGAUACGGGCUCGCUAGGGUCCUGCAGGGGAGACUGGAAUUCCUGGUGUAGCGGUGAAAUGCGCAGAUAUCAGGAGGAACACCGGUGGCGAAGGCGGGUCUCUGGGCAGGUACCGACGCUGAGGAGCGAAAGCGUGGGGAGCGAACAGG